CCCCACUGCUAUCGGGAUGGGACUAAGACAUGCUAGUCGUGCGUCUCCAAGCCAUGGCGGAGACGCGGCGCACAGCUCAGUAACACGUGGCUAACCUGCCCUUAGGACAGGGACAACCCCGGGAAACUGGGGCUAAUCCCUGAUAGGUGAGGGUUCCUGGAAUGGGCCCUCGCCGAAAGGGCGCCUAGACCAUGCUUCUAGGCGCUGCCCAAGGAUGGAGCCGCGGCCAAUCAGGUUGUUGGUGAGGCAACGGCUCACCAAGCCUUUAACCGGUACGGGCCGUGAGAGCGGGAGCCCGGAGAUGGGUACUGAGACAAGGACCCAGGCCCUACGGGGCGCAGCAGUCGCGAAAACUCCGCAAUACGCGAAAGCGUGACGGGGCUAUCCCGAGUGCCGUCCGCUGAGGAUGGCUUUUCCCUAGUGUAUAAAGCUGGGGGAAUAAGGAGAGGGCAAGCCUGGUGUCAGCCGCCGCGGUAAUACCAGCUCUCCGAGUGGUGGGGAUGCUUAUUGGGCCUAAAGCAUUCGUAGCCGGUUGGGCAAGUCCUCCGUUAAAUCCAGCGAUUCAAUCGUUGGACUGCGGGGGAUACUGCCCGGCUUGGGGGCGGAAGAGGCCGACGGUAUUCUCGGGGUAGGGGUGAAAUCCUAUAAUCCCGGGAGGACCACCAGUGGCGAAGGCUGUCGGCUAGAACGCGCCCGACGGUGAGGGAUGAAAGCUGGGGGAGCGAACCGGAUUAGAUACCCGGGUAGUCCCAGCUGUAAACGAUGCAGGCUAGGUGUUGGCGCGGCUACGUGCCGCUCCAGUGCCGCAAGGAAGCCGUUAAGCCUGCCGCCUGGGAAGUACGGCCGCAAGGCUGAAACUUAAAGGAAUUGGCGGGGGAGCACCACAAGGGGUGAAGCUUGCGGUUU
rnacentral:rRNA from 1 species